rnacentral:rRNA from 1 species
CCUACGGGUGGCAGCAGUGGGGAAUAUUGCACAAUGGGGGAAACCCUGACGCAGCGACGCCGCGUGAGUGAAGAAGUAAUUCGUUAUGUAAAGCUCUAUCAGCAGGGAAGAAAAUGACGGUACCUGAGUAAGAAGCCACGGCUAACCACGUGCCAGCAGCCGCGGUAAUACGUAGGGGGCAAGCGUUAUCCGGAUUUACUGGUUGUAAAGGGGGCGUAGGCGGGAGUGCAAGUCUGGAGUGAAAGGCGGGGGUUCAACCCCCGGACUGCACUGGAAACUGUAUGGCUGGAGUGCAGGAGAGGUAAGUGGAAUGCCUAGUGUAGCGGUGAAAUGCGUAGAUAUUAGGAGGAACACCAGUGGCGAAGGCGGCUUACUGGACUGUAACUGACGUUGAGGCUCGAAAGCGUGGGGAGCAAACAGGAUUAGAUACCCCAGUAGUC